AUUGAACGCUGGCGGCAGGCUUAACACAUGCAAGUCGAGCGGAGAUGAGGUGCUUGCACCUUAUCUUAGCGGCGGACGGGUGAGUAAUGCUUAGGAAUCUGCCUAUUAGUGGGGGACAACAUUCCGAAAGGAAUGCUAAUACCGCAUACGUCCUACGGGAGAAAGCAGGGGAUCUUCGGACCUUGCGCUAAUAGAUGAGCCUAAGUCGGAUUAGCUAGUUGGUGGGGUAAAGGCCUACCAAGGCGACGCUCUGUAGCGGGUCUGAGAGGAUGAUCCGCCACACUGGGACUGAGACACGGCCCAGACUCCUACGGGAGGCAGCAGUGGGGAAUAUUGGACAAUGGGGGGAACCCUGAUCCGGCCAUGCCGCGUGUGUGAAGAAGGCCUUAUGGUUGUAAAGCACUUUAAGCGAGGAGGAGGCUACUGAGACUAAUACUCUUGGAUAGUGGACGUUACUCGCAGAAUAAGCACCGGCUAACUCUGUGCCAGCAGCCGCGGUAA
rnacentral:rRNA from 1 species